GCGUGAGUGAAGAAGGCCUUCGGGUUGUAAAGCUCUUUUACCCGGGAAGAUAAUGACUGUACCGGGAGAAUAAGCCCCGGCUAACUCCGUGCCAGCAGCCGCGGUAAUACGGAGGGGGCUAGCGUUGUUCGGAAUUACUGGGCGUAAAGCGCACGUAGGCGGCUUUGUAAGUUAGAGGUGAAAGCCCAGGGCUUAACCCUGGAACUGCCUUUAAGACUGCAAGGCUUGAAUCGCGGAGAGGUGAGUGGAAUUCCGAGUGUAGAGGUGAAAUUCGU
rnacentral:rRNA from 1 species